AAACAUAAUUCAACGUAUACGCUUUCGACGUGUCUGUCAAACUUUUCUCACGAUAUAAUAUAUCGUACCGCAAACAAGACGUUGCUCGUGACAAUUCGCUACUUCCGCCUUCUUCCACAUUGUCGUUGACUCGUACAGAGAGAGACUAACUAAAUGUUACUCUUGCAAAAAUAUCAUUUCACACUUCAUAACGAUUAUUCUACUUAUUCACGAAUAACAGCAUACUUGGCGUUGCAUCGAGUCGUUUUUCUUUAAUAAAUAUUUUAUUAUAAAAUACUAUUUUACAAUAUAAAGUUUCGAUACUUGGAAAAUUUGUCGUAAUUAGACGCCGCAGUCGUGAACACAAAUUACAGUAAACGGAAACUCUGCUCCUAGACAAACAUUGCACAUAACCAACAAAAGGUAAACCUUACUAGAGCUGUCACUGUUGGUGCCAAGUGGCGUCAUUAUGCGUCGACAACAAGAACUUAUCCUUAACGAAAAACUGAUUGAUUCUAAUGGAUGUCGCUCGAUCGUUUUUCAUACUUAUCGUUAUAUCGAAAUGUAAUAUGCUUUAUUAACUUGCGAGCUAAUUCGCGAGUUGAUUCGAAGAAGUUGGCAACAAUUUUUUUCAAGGAUUUUAAACAAUUUUAAUUUCACUGAACUUUUUACCAAACCAAGCAAUGAAUAAAUAUCGCUUUACAAUGA